rnacentral:rRNA from 1 species
AUUGAACGCUGGCGGCAUGCCUUACACAUGCAAGUCGAACGGUAACGGGCCUUCGGGUGCCGACGAGUGGCGAACGGGUGAGUAAUGCAUCGGAACGUACCUUUCAGUGGGGGAUAACGUAGCGAAAGUUACGCUAAUACCGCAUAUUCUGUGCGCAGGAAAGCAGGGGAUCGCAAGACCUUGCGCUGAUUGAGCGGCCGAUGUCAGAUUAGCUAGUUGGUGAGGUAAAGGCUCACCAAGGCGACGAUCUAUAGCGGGUCUGAGAGGAUGAUCCGCCACACUGGAACUGAGACACGGUCCAGACUCCUACGGGAGGCAGCAGUGGGGAAUUUUGGACAAUGGGGGCAACCCUGAUCCAGCCAUGCCGCGUGAGUGAAGAAGGCCUCGGUUGUAAAGCUCUUCGGUCCGGGAACGAAAUCGCAUGGGCUAAUACCCUGUGCGGAUGACGGUACGGCAUAAGAAGCACCGGCUAACUACGUGCCAGCAGCCGCGGU